GGUGAAUUGAUUUCGAUCAAAAAAGGAAAUAAAACAGUGGCCUGUGUAACCUCAAACUUCGAAUCAGCCGUGGCUUUUGUAAAAGAGCCAGAAAACGAUACAGAAUUUACCAAAGUGAAGUACGUGUACGGAAAAGAACAGUUUUUUCCGCUAAGCCAACACGACUGCAACUUCAGCUUCGAAAAAAAUUGCUCGCAGUGGAAUCUGAUGAUGAAUAAAUGGACUCAUACAAAACCUGAACUGGGUUCUCUAAUCACCGAUUACCGCUGGAAUGAUAUGAAAACUUAUUUUGUACAAAACAGUGGGCUGAAAUCUCCGUUGGAAUACCCAAUAGGACGGAACGAAGGCUCAUUCCACUUCUCCCUUCUCGCUGAGGAAAAUGCUGAGAUUUGGAUCUCGAAUAACGAUAAUUUUAGCACAGGAAAUCGAGUGGUUUUCAGUAGAAAUUCAAUUUCCAUCCUCUCCAGGAAGAAUAAUAUUGGUACUUGGGAGA